UGGGGAAUUUUGGACAAUGGGCGCAAGCCUGAUCCAGCCAUGCCGCGUGCGGGAAGAAGGCCUUCGGGUUGUAAACCGCUUUUGUCAGGGAAGAAAUCUUCUGAGUUAAUACCUCGGGAGGAUGACGGUACCUGAAGAAUAAGCACCGGCUAACUACGUGCCAGCAGCCGCGGUAAUACGUAGGGUGCAAGCGUUAAUCGGAAUUACUGGGCGUAAAGCGUGCGCAGGCGGUUUUGUAAGACAGAGGUGAAAUCCCCGGGCUCAACCUGGGAACUGCCUUUGUGACUGCAAGGCUUGAGUGCGGCAGAGGGGGGAUGGAAUUCCGCGUGUAGCAGUGAAAUGCGUAGAUAUGCGGAGGAACACCGAUGGCGAAGGCAAUCCCCCUGGGCCUGCACUGACGCUCAUGCACGAAAGCGUGGGGAGCAAACAGGAUUAGAUAGCCCUGGUAGUCCACGCCCUAAAACGAUGUCAACUGGUUGUUGGGAAGGUUCCUUCUCAGUAACGUAGCUAACGCGUGAAGUUGACCGCCUGGGGAGUACGCCGCAAGGUUGAAACUCAAAUGAAUUGACGGGGUCAU
rnacentral:rRNA from 1 species